rnacentral:rRNA from 1 species
GAUGAACGCUGGCGGCGUGCCUAAUACAUGCAAGUCGAGCGGACGGAGGAGAAUCUUGCCUCUCUGAUGUUAGCGGCGGGCGGGUGAUUAAUACGAGGAUAACCGACCUAGAAGGCUGAGAUAAGUUCGGGGAACCUGAUCUAACAUAGGAUAAGAUUUUGAACGGGAGGGUUCAUAAGAGAAAACGGUACCUGCUGUCACUUAGUGGUGUAACCUCGCUGCAUUAGCUAGUUGGUAGGGUAACGGCGUACCAAGGCUACGAUGCAUAGCCGACCUGAGAGGGUGAUCAGCCACACUGGAACUGAGACACGGUCCAGACUCCUACGGGAGGCAGCAGUAGGGAAUAUUCGACAAUGGGCGAAAGCCUGACGGAGCCACGCCGCGUGAGUGAAGAAGGUCUUCGGAUCGUAAAACACUGUAAGUAGGGAAGAACAUAAGUGAAAGUAACUGUGCCCGUCUUGACGUUACCUACAGAGAAAGCAACGGCUAACUACGUG